CACUAAGAAGUUCUAUAGCUUUAACCUUUUAAGUUAAAGAUUGAGAGUUCAAAUCUCUCCUUAAUGA
rnacentral:tRNA from 1 species